ACGGAAGGCAGCAGUGGGGAAUAUUGCACAAUGGGCGAAAGCCUGAUGCAGCGACGCCGCGUGAGCGAAGAAGUAUUUCGGUAUGUAAAGCUCUAUCAGCAGGGAAGAUAAUGACGGUACCUGACUAAGAAGCUCCGGCUAAAUACGUGCCAGCAGCCGCGGUAAUACGUAUGGAGCAAGCGUUAUCCGGAUUUACUGGGUGUAAAGGGAGUGCAGGCGGUGCUUUAAGUCUGAUGUGAAAACCCAAGGCUCAACCAUGGGAUUGCAUUGGAAACUGGAGUACUAGAGUGUCGGAGAGGCAAGCGGAAUUCCUAGUGUAGCGGUGAAAUGCGUAGAUAUUAGGAGGAACACCAGUGGCGAAGGCGGCUUGCUGGACGAUUACUGACGCUGAGGCUCGAAAGCGUGGGGAGCAAACAGGAUUAGAUACCCUGGUA
rnacentral:rRNA from 1 species